AGAGCCGGCGUGUUGACCGCUCCGUUCGCUGACAGGCGGACGGGGAGGAAAGUCCGAACUCCGCAGAGCAGGAUGCCCCGUAACGCGGGGAGUCCGUGAGGACUGGAAAGCGCAACAGAGAGCAGACGUCCAUCGGUCCCGAUACGUCGGGAUGGAUGGUCAAGGUGAAACGGUGAGGUAAGAGCUCACCAGUUCCGGCGGCAACGCCGGAAGCUAGGCAAGCCCCAUCCGGAGCAACACAAAUACGAAGGCGAUACCUUGCUCGGGUUCAUGCUUUCGUGGUAGUGGCUACACCGGGCCGGUAACGGACCGGGCAGAUAAAUGGUCAACGUCCGUCCGCCGACCGGCGGACGAGAUAACAGAAUUCGGCUUAUGUCCGGCUUUAAGC
rnacentral:RNase_P_RNA from 1 species